rnacentral:rRNA from 1 species
UACGUAGGGGGCAAGCGUUGUCCGGAUUUAUUGGGCGUAAAGAGCGUGUAGGCGGCCAUACAGGUCCGUUGUGAAAACUCGAGGCUCAACCUCGAGACGUCGAUGGAAACCGUAUGGCUAGAGUCCGGAAGAGGCGAGUGGAAUUCCUGGUGUAGCGGUGGAAUGCGCAGAUAUCAGGAGGAACACCGAUGGCGAAGGCAGCUCGCUGGGACGGUACUGACGCUGAGGCGCGAAAGCUAGGGGAGCAAACGGG